rnacentral:rRNA from 1 species
UACGGGGGGGGCAAGCGUUGUUCGGAAUUACUGGGCGUAAAGGGCUCGUAGGCGGCCAACUAAGUCGGACGUGAAAUCCCCAGCUCAACCUGGGAACUGCGUCCGAUACUGGAUGGCUUGAAUCCGGGAGAGGGAUGCAGAAUUCCAGGUGUAGCGGUGAAAUGCGUAGAUAUCUGGAGGAAUACCGGUGGCGAAGGCGGCAUUCUGGACCGAUAUUGACGCUGAGGAGCGAAAGCCAGGGGAGCAAAGCGGG